rnacentral:rRNA from 1 species
CACGUAGUUAGCCGGUGCUUUUUCUGCAGGUACCGUCACUUUCGCUUCUUCCCUGCUAAAAGAGGUUUACAACCCGAAGGCCGUCGUCCCUCACGCGGCGUUGCUGCAUCAGGUUUUCGCCCAUUGUGCAAUAUUCCCCACUGCUGCCUCCCGUAGGAGUCUGGGCCGUGUCUCAGUCCCAGUGUGGCCGGUCACCCUCUCAGGCCGGCUACCCGUCGACGCCUUGGUGAGCCGUUACCUCACCAACUAGCUGAUAGGCCGCGAGCUCAUCCCUGACCGAAAUUCUUUCCAGACGUUGAAGAUGCCUUCACGUCUCGUAUCCGGUAUUAGCAGCUGUUUCCAGCUGUUAUCCCAGAGUCAGGGGCAGAUUGCUCACGUGUUACUCACCCGUUCGCCACUGAUCCACAGAGCAAGCUCUGCUUCACCGUUCGACUUGCAUGUGUUAAGCACGCCGCCAGCGUUCAUCCUGAGCCAGGAUCAAACUCU